rnacentral:tRNA from 1 species
GGGGAUUUGGCUCAAUGGUAGAGCGCUUGCCUAGCAAGUGCAAGGCCCUGGGUUCAGUCCCCA